GCUGGGUGUGGUGGUGCACACCUUUAAUCCCAGCACUUGGGAGGCAGAGGCAGGCAGAUUGCUGAGUUCAAGGCCAGCCUGGUCUACAGAGUGAGUUCCGGGACAGCCAGGGCUACACAGAGAAACCCUGUCUCGAAAAAAGAAAGAAAAAGAAAAAAACCAACUUAUUUUUAUUUUUUGAGUUUUUUAAGACAGGGUUUCUCUGUGUAUCCCUGGCUGCCCUGGACCUCACUCUGUAGACCAGGCUGGCCUCGAACUCAGAAAUCCACCUGACU
rnacentral:lncRNA from 1 species